UACGUAGGCAGCAAGCGUUGUUCGGAGUUACUGGGCGUAAAGGGUGUGUAGGCGGUUCUUUUAAGCUUGGUGUGAAAUCUCCCGGCUCAACCGGGAGGGUGCGCCGAAUACUGAGGGACUAGAGUGUGGGAGAGGAAAGUGGAAUUCCUGGUGUAGCGGUGAAAUGCGUAGAUAUCAGGAGGAACACCGGUGGUGUAGACGGCUUUCUGGACCAUAACUGACGCUGAGACACGAAAGCGUGGGUAGCAAACAGG
rnacentral:rRNA from 1 species